GCAAGUCGAACGCAGUAGCAAUACUGAGUGGCAAACGGGUGAGUAUAAUGUGGGAAUCUGCCUUUUGGUCUGGAAUAACACGGGGAAACUUGUGCUAAUACCGGAUAAGCCCUCACGGGGAAAGUUUUAAUGCCGAAAGAUGAGCCCGCACUUGAUUAGCUAGUUGGUAAGGUAAAAGCUUACCAAGGCAACGAUCAAUAGCUGAUUUGAGAGGAUGAUC
rnacentral:rRNA from 1 species